GACGAACGCUGGCGGCGUGCUUAACACAUGCAAGUCGAGCGGUAAGGCCCUUUCGGGGGUACACGAGCGGCGAACGGGUGAGUAACACGUGGGUGACCUGCCCUUUAGCUCUGGGGAUAAGCCCUGGGGAAACCGGGUCUAAUACCGGAUAUGACUCCGCGGCGCAUGUUGUGGGGUGGAAAGGCCUUGUCGCGGCUGGAGAGUGGGCCCGCGGCCUAUCAGCUUGUUGGUGGGGUGAUGGCCUACCAAGGCGACGACGGGUAGCCGGCCUGAGAGGGCGACCGGCCACACUGGGACUGA
rnacentral:rRNA from 1 species